AUCAUGGUAGCAGCUCGCUUUAGCUGUUCGCGGUUUCGCGGGUACGGUAAACGUUUCCAUGGUAACAGCGAGUUGGACCAAUUAGAAACGUUGCUGUUACGCUUAGGAUUUUUGGUAAUGUAGUUUUUCUAUGUAAA